rnacentral:rRNA from 1 species
UACGAGGGGGGCGAGCGUUGUUCGGAAUUAUUGGGCGUAAAGCGCACGUAGGCGGCCUGAUAAGUCGGGUGUGAAAGCCCUGGGCUCAACCCAGGAAGUGCACUCGAAACUGUCAGGCUUGAAUAUGGAAGAGGGUCGCGGAAUUCCCGGUGUAGAGGUGAAAUUCGUAGAUAUCGGGAGGAACACCAGUGGCGAAGGCGGCGACCUGGGCCAAUAUUGACGCUGAGGUGCGAAAGCGUGGGGAGCAAACAGG